GACGAACGCUGGCGGCGUGCCUAAUACAUACAAGUUGAGCGAUGAAGAUUGGUGCUUGCACCAAUUUGAAGAGCAGCGAACGGGUGAGUAACGCGUGGGGAAUCUGCCUUUGAGCGGGGGACAACAUUUGGAAACGAAUGCUAAUACCGCAUAACAACUUUAAACAUAAGUUUUAAGUUUGAAAGAUGCAAUUGCAUCACUCAAAGAUGAUCCCGCGUUGUAUUAGCUAGUUGGUGAGGUAAAGGCUCACCAAGGCGAUGAUACAUAGCCGACCUGAGAGGGUGAUCGGCCACAUUGGGACUGAGACACGGCCCAAACUCCUACGGGAGGCAGCAGUAGGGAAUCUUCGGCAAUGGACGAAAGUCUGACCGAGCAACGCCGCGUGAGUGAAGAAGGUUUUCGGAUCGUAAAACUCUGUUGGUAGAGAAGAACGUUGGUGAGAGUGGAAAGCUCAUCAAGUGACGGUAACUACCCAGAAAGGGACGGCUAACUACGUG
rnacentral:rRNA from 1 species